UUCACAAGGUGUCGUAUAUUGUCAUAUAUGUCGUAAGUCAUAGAUUUGUACAACUGUUGUAGAGCCGUUGUUGCUGUUUUAAAUGCAAAAAUAUAAAUUUGACGAUACAACUCUGCGUACUGUGUUUAUUCAGUGCAACUUUGAAUCAGCUGUGUUUGUUUAUCUUUCUUCUUCUUAUUGUUUGCAUUUUGUUGAAAUAAAUUGGCCGCAAAUUCGUUAAACGAAUAAGUAAAUGGAUAAAAUGAGCACGAACGGUGAAGUUGAGCGCUACAACAAAACGUUGAUUGAAUUCCUUCUAGAGAAUCGCGAUUUUGAGAAUGCCAUUUUUUAGGGUAAAUGGAAACUAUUAAUUACUUAGUUAUUUACAGAAACCAUCGGCACGGCUAUUUUAUAAUCGCUUCGCGAAUGAAAAACAAAUCCUGGUCGAGUGGAAAUCAGCGCGCUCAAAAGUAAGAAAUAUGCGAUCUGCAUAUAAUAAAGCGAAGGAAUGGGAAGGAAAUACCGGUGCUGGUUGCAUGGACGGCGAUACUAUAAAAAGCGUUUUUCUCAAAAAGUUUCGCUAUUUCUAAAUUUCUAUUUCUAUUUCGUCGACUAAACGCUUGUGCUGUAGUUGAAGAAAUAAUGGAAAGUGCUGAUACUACCAUUGAAGUAUUAAGUUCUGUACAAAUUGAAAUUCCUAUUGUAAAUGAAACAGUUACCACUCCAAGGCAAAGGGGAAUAUACUCCAGAACAGCGGCUUCCGAUAUUAUGCAAAUCCAUGGCGAAAUAAUGACAUUGCGAAAGCAAAAGUUAGAGGCAGAAUUGACUGCAAGAGAAAGAGAGUUCGAGCGAAAAGAAAAAGAGUUGCAGUUAAAAGCUAAAGAAGUGGAGCUCAAAGAAAUUGAAAUAUUAGCGCUAAAAGACAUCAAACAACUAGAGCUACAGAUGAAAGAGCGAAUCGCCAUGGAAGAGCUAAGGCUGAAGUACAAAUAAAUUCUUAAAACUUAUUUAGUAUACGAAAAGACCAAUUUUUCUAUUUUUUACUUUUGUUUUCAAUGAGAUGGACUCACACAUCGUUUUAUACGAUGGUUUAAUUUAAAUUUUUGUUAAUGGUAUAAUUUUAUAUGUACAUUUCUGCGUAUGUAUGUACGUACAAUAAACGCCAAAUAUACACGUAUACUUGAAAAUGUAAAAGUGAAUAAAUGUAGCUAUGUUAGUGCAAUAUGUUUAAACGCAAA